rnacentral:lncRNA from 1 species
GAGCAUCGUAAAAGAUGGGUUCUGCAAGGGUUUUAUUUUUUAUUUACAGCAAACAUAUUACAGUAAAAAAGCUUAACAUGGCUCACAUUGUGGUUGAGUAAGGACAAUACAUAUGCUUACAUCAAACAGGUUUAAUUUCCUUGGCACUAACCGAACCAAAUGCAAGAAUUCAACAUAAAAUUAAGAAACAGAACAUUUAUUAGGCAAACUCUACAUUAACUGUACACAUCUGCGGCUGGAGUUUCAAUGCAAUCCAAAGAAUACAAACAAGCCAUCAGGAUGGCAAGAACUUUUUUCAACAAACAUGUUUAACCCUCAAGACAAGGCUGUCUGGCACCAUUUAAAAGUCGCUGUACCGAACACAGUGAUUUUAAGGAAAUGUCAUAGAUGAUUAAGACACUGAAAACGCACUCAUCACAGUGAAGAACCCCAUUAUUUUCCUUAUUUUUUUCUCUCUUUUUUUUUUGACUCCCACCAUGCAAUAGUGUGAAAAGGCUGCAUGGCAGACAAGCUGGAUGCAACUGCUGGAGGGUUUUGCCUGUCAAAAACAAAGUGACUUGCAGCAAGAGACAUGCUUUAUGCAACAAACCCAAUGAUAUACAGCUUGUGUGAGUUCAAAUAUGAAGAUCUAGGAACGACAGAUGUUGAAGCCUUAUAAGCUCUCUUCAUUAUAAUCAGAAUCCUGAGAAAAGCAGGGUCCAAAUUACUCCAAGUGAAUUUAGGCUUACUUAUAUACAACAAAAUUGUCCAGAUACCUCAACAGUAGUAAACAGAGUUAAUGCAGUGUUAAUCUUUUUACAUUUUAAUGACUAGCUAUAAAAACAGAAACUAACAUGUUCUAAUCUGUUUACAUUUCCUGAGCUUAGUUAAAUCAAGAAGGAAUGAACAUUAUAAAAAUCCUGGUAAGUCACCAAUAAAUUAAAAAUGUACAUAACCACUAUCACUUAAGAAGCUUUGCAGUGCUCGGAGUGAAGUCUGCCUAUCUGAUUACCAUGGUCUUUCCUUUAGGACUCCUGUACAGAAACCAUGCCAUUAACUUCACCAGCAAAACUGAGAUGCUAUGGAACUGUAGGUCUUUUUUCCCGCUCUCCAAGUGGCUUCUAGCAGACCAUACGAUAGCGAUAGCCGUUCCUAAUCAAAUCAGAGAGCAUUCAAAAACUGCAAUCCUCUACUUCCAGUGCAAGAAACAAUGUUCUCAGAAACACAAUGUGCUACUGAAAUGAAAAUUUACUAGCAGCAGCUAUUUGAGUGGACUCUCAGCUCUUGCACAUAAAAUGACCACGCCGGCAGCAGGGUUAGUAUCCUUUAGGGGGAACAAACCAAUGAAAAUCUACACAGAAGAUAAAGAAUAAAGAUAAAGAAUCUACACAGCAAUAAAGAAUUCAUCUUGGCGGUUUCUUUAAGAGCCAACAUCUUGCAUUUGAGAAAAGCACUGGACCUCCAUGAGUCAUACACAUGUUUAUUUAUGCAUGUUUAUUUCCUGCAUAGAGGAUAAUGUGUAGCUUGGAAUAAAACCCAGCUUUGAGAAUAUACUGAGACUAUGGGUAUUUGUCAUUGUGCUAUUGGCAGAAUAAUUCAAACCCAAAUGCUCAAACUCAACUGUCUUAAAGACUUGCAGAGCAUGAACUUUGAUAAAACGAACUACUUUUAAAAAAAUGUCUGCUUAUAGCAUGAUUUUUAAUUUGUGGUGUAGAUAAAAGAGAGGUAGAAAGGUUUAUCCCCUCAAUAUUAUUUUCUGUGCAGUAUUUAUAAAUUAUCAGAAAAAAACCUAUAGAUUUUUGGUGAAAAUACCAGCUUUUUUUCUAAGAGUUAUAUGGAAUCUCUUCUUUCCACUGAAGUGCUGCAAACUAAGUAACUAGAAUUUGGUUCAGAAAAGCUCUUCUUUCCAUUAGCUUCAUUUGUGUUACUGAAUUCUGCUUUUAAGAAGUCAUUCUGGAAAUAUUCCUAUACAGGGCUCAAAGAUACCUAGCAGAUACAACCUACCAAAAAAAACUACGUUUACCAGCCAAAUAACACCACGUCUGCUCCUAAAAAAAGCACUCGCUCUACUUACAUGAUCCCUCUUACACAUGCUACUGAGAGGGAGAGAAGUAUGGAAGGCCUUUUGGCCCUUCCCCUCUUUGUUGAUGACCACAGGUAUGAGCAGCAUCAUCACUCUGGCUGGUAGUAGCUACAGAGCUUCUUAAGGCAGCUUCUUUUCCUGCCAUGAUCCACCCUCUGCAGCAGGAGGAUGGAUGGUGCUUUAGUGAUGAAUGCUCCUCAAAAAGGGUAGGAAAGAUGAGUUGACCAGGAGAGAUAGCUUAAGAGAAACCACGUUAUAAGACAAAUAUCCAUCCUUCCCUCGUGUAAGACCAGCCUGCAGUGCUAAAGUUUUCAUGAUUGUCACUAGACAAGGGAAAGAGAUGAAAACAUUUCGGGUCCUGCAGCUGCAGUCAUCAAGAGUGUGAUCCAGAGUGCAGUGCAUUUCCCACUGAGCCAAGAGCCUCGGACCCAGCAGUGCCAGGGAAAGGUAAGUCAGAGACAACGGGGUGAGAUCUGCCAAUAGGGGCCCCAUCGCUGAUCCCCGUUCUCACUGCACUGGGAGAGCUGAUGGAUCUGGAAGAGAAUGACCUGCCUGUUGACAUUUUGGGGUGCACAGGGCUGGAGCUCAAGCAUUACUCAUGUAGCAGCGGCUGUUCAAGGGUGGAUUUGAGCCAUGAAAGUCAGAUUGCUGCACGGUGACCUUUAAUUUACCCAGAGAAAGUUAAAUAAAUUACAUUAAAUUAAAUUCAGCCGAAGCAGAUGCUAGCUUAUUUAUUAAAAAGAUCAGCUUUCUCUUUCUUUCAGCCAGUUUUAGAGACAGGCAGCUCCUGGGAGCAGACCAUCAUUCUAACUCAGUUGGACAAGAACAGCUACAUAGAGAUGGUCAGAGUGACUCUCCUGCAGCAAUACUAGCCACAACAAGACCUGGCUGUCCCUAGGGAUGCCCAGCAAAGGCACGUGAUGGUCAGAGUGACUCUCCUGCAGCAAUACCAGCCACAACAAGACC